CGCAGGAAAUGUACGACUCCGCUUCCAGUUGCAAGGCUUAUUCUCAACCCGACGCUAUACGGCUUUAGGGGAUAAAGCGCCCUAUCAGGUAGGGACGUUUGAAGUCAGUGACGUUGAAAACACACAGGGCUCAAGUGUUUUGCACCAAGCGGUGUUUACAGGAAAAAGAAAGCCUGAGUCCCUCAACCUGGUGUCAUCAGCAAACUGGAUGAGCGUGCCUUCUGUGUAUUCAUUCAAGUGAGGUCAAUAUCGAACAGAGGGACCUAUUGGAACAUGCGGCUCUUCUCCAAGUGUCUUCUUUUGGGAGCUCCCAUAGCAUGGCUUGUGCCAGGCAGGGGCCAGGGCCAGGGGCUUUUGGAGGACAGCUGCCCACCCCCAUGUAAGAAGCAUCGCUGCCCAUGUGCUAAGGAAAGGGGCAUUUGCUCAUAUUUUCAUGGCUUCAAUAUCUCUUCAUGGGAAAAGAAGAUAAUGAUAUUUGUAAUUAUUUCAGCAAUGAAUUGUUUGCUCUAAAAUCACUCAAAAUAAACUUAACACUGGGACUACUAGUAUUUUCCAUGUAGACACUUUUGUUCUCACCUUGAAACUCCUUGGCUGAAGCAUCAGCAAUUCACUGGAUUACUGCUAUUUCUACCCUAGGACUUUCUCCAGAGAAGUCUGGAUGCCUUUGUGCGUUUUCACUUCUUGUAGCUUAGAAAGAGCACAGUGCUGCUAGAGACUGUGGCAACUGAAAGUUAUUUCUGGGCUAUUUGAAAUACUUAAUAAAAACUCCAGGAAACUUGGCAACUUCUGCACAGUGUAUGUGAUCUUAAUGUGGAAGCUGUUGUUCAUCUGGCAAAGCCCCAUGCAACACAAUUGGAUUUGUUCCUCAAGGAGUGUCAGCAAGGCGCCGAGAGGAUUCACAGGCUGAGCUUUGGUCAGAAUUGGUAUGUUUUUAGGUUU